rnacentral:rRNA from 1 species
AUUGAACGCUGGCGGCAUGCCUUACACAUGCAGUCGAACGGUAACAGGUCUUCGGAUGCUGACGAGUGGCGAACGGGUGAGUAAUACAUCGGAACGUGCCUAGUAGUGGGGGAUAACUACUCGAAAGAGUGGCUAAUACCGCAUGAGAUCUACGGAUGAAAGCAGGGGAUCGCAAGACCUUGUGCUACUAGAGCGGCCGAUGGCAGAUUAGGUAGUUGGUGGGAUAAAAGCUUACCAAGCCGACGAUCUGUAGCUGGUCUGAGAGGACAAUCAGCCACACUGGGACUGAGACACGGCCCAGACUCCUACGGGAGGCAGCAGUGGGGAAUUUUGGACAAUGGGCGCAAGCCUGAUCCAGCAAUGCCGCGUGCAGGAUGAAGGCCUUCGGGUUGUAAACUGCUUUUGUACGGAACGAAAAGCCCUGGGUUAAUACCCUGGGGUCAUGACGGUACCGUAAGAAUAAGCACCGGCUAACUACGUGCCAGCCGCCGCGGUAAAAC